rnacentral:rRNA from 1 species
GAUGAACGCUGGCGGCGUGCCUAAUACAUGCAAGUCGAGCGAACGGACGAGAAGCUUGCUUCUCUGAUGUUAGCGGCGGACGGGUGAGUAACACGUGGAUAACCUACCUAUAAGAAUGGGAUAACUUCGGGAAACCGGAGCUAAUACCGGAUAAUAUUUUGAACCACAUGCUUCAAAAGUGAAUGACGGCUUUGUUGUAACUUACUGUUGGAUCCCCGUUGCAUUAGCUAGUUGGUAAGGUAACGGCUUACCAAGGAAACGAUGCAUAGCCGACAUUGGAGGGUGGUCGGCCACACUGGAACUGAGGCACGGUCCAGACUCCUACGGGAGGCAGCAGUAGGGAAUCUUCCGCAAUGGGCGAAAGCCUGGCGGAGCAACGCCGCGUGAGUGAUGAAGGUCUUCGGAUCGUAAAACUCUGUUAUUAGGGAAGAACAUAUGUGUAAGUAACUGUGCACAGCUUGACGGUACCUAAUCAGAAAGCCACGGCUAACUACGUG